CGGGACGUAGCGCAGCCUGGUAGCGCGCCCGCUUUGGGAGCGGGAGGCCGCGAGUUCGAAUCUCGCCGUCCCGA
rnacentral:tRNA from 1 species